ACGGCUCAGUAACACGUAGUCAACAUGCCCAGGGGACGUGGAUAACCUCGGGAAACUGAGGAUAAACCGCGAUAAGUCACUACUUCUGGAAUGGGUAAUGACUAAAAUCUAUAUGGCCCCUGGAUUGGACUGCGGCCGAUCAGGCUGUUGGUGAGGUAAUGGCCCACCAAACCUGUAACCGGUACGGGCUCUGAGAGGAGGAGCCCGGAGAUGGGCACUGAGACAAGGGCCCAGGCCCUAUGGGGCGCAGCAGGCGCGAAACCUCUGCAAUAGGCGAAAGCCUGACAGGGUUACUCUGAGUGAUUUCCGUUAAGAAGAUCUUUUGGCACCUCUAAAAAUGGUGCAGAAUAAGGGGUGGGCAAGUCUGGUGUCAGCCGCCGCGGUAAUACCAGCACCCCGAGUGGUCGGGACGUUUAUUGGGCCUAAAGCAUCCGUAGCCGGUUCUACAAGUCUUCCGUUAAAUCCACCUGCUUAACAGAUGGGCUGCGGAAGAUACUAUGGAGCUAGGAGGCGGGAGAGGCAAGCGGUACUCGAUGGGUAGGGGUAAAAUCCGUUGAUCCAUUGAAGACCACCAGUGGCGAAGGCGGCUUGCCAGAACGCGCUCGACGGUGAGGGAUGAAAGCUGGGGGAGCAAACCGGAUUAGAUACCCGGGUAGUCCCAGCUGUAAACGAUGCAGACUCGGUGAUGAGUUGGCUUCUUGCCAACUCAGUGCCGCAGGGAAGCCGUUAAGUUUGCCGCCUGGGGAGUACGGUCGCAAGACUGAAACUUAAAGGAAUUGGCGGGGGAGCAC
rnacentral:rRNA from 1 species